AAUUCUCAACCUUUCCAGCUUUUGCGAGCUUGGUCGGGCUUGGAUGUGGGGGUUGCGGGCUUUUCAGAAGUCGGCUCCCCUUAAAUGCAUUAGUGAAACCUUUGUUGAUCAUCUCUUGGUGUGAUAAUUAUCUACGCCAUUGGAGUGUCAGCCUCAACUCAUGUUGAGAGUGUUCUGCUUCUAACGGUCCCCCCUCUAGGGACAACUUCUGACC
rnacentral:misc_RNA from 1 species